GACGUGAAAUAAUCACUCAGAAUCGGAUCAGCCGUAUGCUCCCUCAUCCGGACCUGGAAGAUCCCCCUCUCUCAUGCUCCUACAAGAGGAUGAGGAUCGGCUGGCAAAGUGAGAAACCAAUGGUGUCCAGGCGUCGAACUUUACAGAGGAAGAUGGAGCUGGAAGAAGACAUGGCGUCUGGACCAGAUGAAGAAGAAGAAAAGUAAAGACAACAGAGAAGACGUCUCCUGCUUUGCCUAAAUAAAGCGCCUUCCUCUGAGAUCUGCUCUGGAUACUUUCUUUCAUACAGAAGCGUCAGAAGCCUGCACCAGAAUGACUUUCUCAGAGGAAAACCCAGAAGUCUUCUCACCAUCAAAGAACUCUCUCUCUUAUGCCAUCCAGUGAUGGACGAUUAUUGCUUUGCAAAGUGGUCUGUAUUUUUUGCUUUUCAUAGUUAUUAUGCUUGGGCUUCUCUACAUGUUGUCCUUCCCCAAUCCUGAGUUUCCCUUCUUCCUUUCAUACUCAUGACGGACUUCCUUCAUUUGAUGAAGGGGCUUUGGUUCCUUCAAAACUAUCCGAUAUUUACACACUUAAUCUACACAGGUUUCCAGUGACUUUUUGGUUUCAUCAUAUCCUAUGCAUACUUAUCUUCUGAUCACCUCCCUAACAAGACAAUUUUGAGCAAUUUUGGGUGGUCAUCCUAAAGAAGUUUUACUGUAACUGUUUAUUAAGACAAAUGUGUGCUAGCAGACACAUUAUAGUAUAACAGCUCAGAAAACACACACAGUAAGCUUGUAGAUCCAUAAGAUGAGAGGAGGAAGGGUUUGGUAACUGUAUUUGAGCAAAGCAGCAAUCCUAUGACUCUCAGCAGAUACAGAGGAGCAAUCUUACAGCUGGGACAGGCUUUGCGUAUUGCAGUGAGCCUAUCAUCACGAUAGUCCUGCCCCCACUUCUUCUGUUCCUUCUUGGUGUUUUUGUUAUUGGAGACUGACUGAGCCUAACAACAGGUACAGCAUGUUUUGUUACGGUGGAAAAAUGGAAACAUUUUUAAUGGAAGUAAACUGUACUUUGGACACUGUUUGCAUAAACCGUUGAAAAUGCAUAUAUUGUAUAGCUACAAUAAGAUGGAGCUGAUCCAAUUAUGGUGUAUAAAUAUUUCCCUUUCCAUCCU